rnacentral:rRNA from 1 species
UACGUAGGUGGCAAGCGUUGUCCGGAUUUACUGGGCGUAAAGAGCGCGCAGGCGGUCGAAUAAGUCGAAUGUGAAAGCCCCCGGCUUAACUGGGGGAGGGUCAUUCGAUACUGCUCGACUUGAAGGCAGGAGAGGGAAGUGGAAUUCCCGGUGUAGUGGUGAAAUGCGUAGAUAUCGGGAGGAACACCAGUGGCGAAGGCGACUUCCUGGCCUGUUCUUGACGCUGAGGCGCGAAAGCUGGGGGAGCAAACGGG